UACGGGGGGGGUGAGCGUUGUUCGGAAUUACUGGGCGUAAAGGGCUCGUAGGCGGCCAACUAAGUCAUACGUGAAAUCCCUCAGCUUAACUGGGGAACUGCGUGUGAUACUGGAUGGCUUGGAUUUGGGAGAGGGAUGCGGAAUUCCAGGUGUAGCGGUGAAAUGCGUAGAUAUCUGGAGGAACACCGGUGGCGAAGGCGGCAUCCUGGACCAAUAUUGACGCUGAGGAGCGAAAGCUAGGGGAGCAAACGGG
rnacentral:rRNA from 1 species